AUGAACGCUAGCUACAGGCUUAACACAUGCAAGUCGAGGGGCAGCAUGGUCUUAGCUUGCUAAGGCCGAUGGCGACCGGCGCACGGGUGAGUAACACGUAUCCAACCUGCCGUCUACUCUUGGACAGCCUUCUGAAAGGAAGAUUAAUACAAGAUGGCAUCAUGAGUCCACAUGUUCACAUGAUUAAAGGUAUUCCGGUAGACGAUGGGGAUGCGUUCCAUUAGAUAGUAGGCGGGGUAACGGCCCACCUAGUCUUCGAUGGAUAGGGGUUCUGAGAGGAAGGUCCCCCACAUUGGAACUGAGACACGGUCCAAACUCCUACGGGAGGCAGCAGUGAGGAAUAUUGGUCAAUGGGCGAGAGCCUGAACCAGCCAAGUAGCGUGAAGGAUGACUGCCCUAUGGGUUGUAAACUUCUUUUAUAAAGGAAUAAAGUCGGGUAUGCAUACCCGUUUGCAUGUACUUUAUGAAUAAGGAUCGGCUAACUCCGUGCCAGCAGCCGCGGUAAUACGGAGGAUCCGAGCGUUAUCCGGAUUUAUUGGGUUUAAAGGGAGCGUAGAUGGAUGUUUAAGUCAGUUGUGAAAGUUUGCGGCUCAACCGUAAAAUUGCAGUUGAUACUGGAUAUCUUGAGUGCAGUUGAGGCAGGCGGAAUUCGUGGUGUAGCGGUGAAAUGCUUAGAUAUCACGAAGAACUCCGAUUGCGAAGGCAGCCUGCUAAGCUGCAACUGACAUUGAGGCUCGAAAGUGUGGGUAUCAAACAGGAUUAGAUACCCUGGUAGUCCACACGGUAAACGAUGAAUACUCGCUGUUUGCGAUAUACAGCAAGCGGCCAAGCGAAAGCGUUAAGUAUUCCACCUGGGGAGUACGCCGGCAACGGUGAAACUCAAAGGAAUUGACGGGGGCCCGCACAAGCGGAGGAACAUGUGGUUUAAUUCGAUGAUACGCGAGGAACCUUACCCGGGCUUAAAUUGCAGAUGAAUUACGGUGAAAGCCGUAAGCCGCAAGGCAUCUGUGAAGGUGCUGCAUGGUUGUCGUCAGCUCGUGCCGUGAGGUGUCGGCUUAAGUGCCAUAACGAGCGCAACCCUUGUUGUCAGUUACUAACAGGUUCCGCUGAGGACUCUGACAAGACUGCCAUCGUAAGAUGUGAGGAAGGUGGGGAUGACGUCAAAUCAGCACGGCCCUUACGUCCGGGGCUACACACGUGUUACAAUGGGGGGUACAGAGGGCCGCUACCACGCGAGUGGAUGCCAAUCCCCAAAACCUCUCUCAGUUCGGACUGGAGUCUGCAACCCGACUCCACGAAGCUGGAUUCGCUAGUAAUCGCGCAUCAGCCAUGGCGCGGUGAAUACGUUCCCGGGCCUUGUACACACCGCCCGUCAAGCCAUGAAAGCCGGUGGCGCCUGAAGUACGUGACCGCAAGGAGCGUCCUAGGGCGAAAACUGUAAUUGGGGCU
rnacentral:rRNA from 1 species